rnacentral:rRNA from 1 species
UACGUAGGGGGCAAGCGUUGUCCGGAAUCAUUGGGCGUAAAGAGCGUGUAGGCGGCCCGGUAAGUCCGCUGUGAAAGUCGAGGGCUCAACCCUCGAAUGCCGGCGGAUACUGUCGGGCUAGAGUCCGGAAGAGGCGAGUGGAAUUCCUGGUGUAGCGGUGAAAUGCGCAGAUAUCAGGAGGAACACCAAUUGCGAAGGCAGCUCGCUGGGACGUUACUGACGCUGAGACGCGAAAGCGUGGGGAGCAAACAGG